UCCUCGAUCUGCUGGGGCGCGAUGAGGUGGACGUGGCUGUCGAUGCCGCCGGCGGUGAGGAUCUUGCCGUUGCCGGCCAGGAUCUCGGUGGACGGACCGAUCACCAGAUUCUCGUCGACACCGUCCUGGGUGUCGGGGUUACCGGCCUUGCCGAUGCCGACGAUCCGGCCGUCCCGUACCCCGAUGUCGGCCUUGACGACGCCCCAGUGGUCGAGGAUCAGCGCGCCGGUGAUCACCAGGUCGGGGGCGCCGUCCGCGCGGGUGGCGCGGGACUGGCCCAUCGACUCGCGGA
rnacentral:sRNA from 1 species